GAUCAUGGCUCAGGAUGAACGCUAGCUACAGGCUUAACACAUGCAAGUCGAGGGGUAGCAUUUUAGUUUGCUUGCAAACUAAAGAUGGCGACCGGCGCACGGGUGAGUAACACGUAUCCAACCUGCCGAUAACUCAGGGAUAGCCUUUCGAAAGAAAGAUUAAUACCUGAUGGCAUAGGAUUAUCGCAUGAUAAUCCUAUUAAAGAGUUUCGGUUAUCGAUGGGGAUGCGUUCCAUUAGG
rnacentral:rRNA from 1 species